rnacentral:rRNA from 1 species
UGGGGAAUCUUAGACAAUGGGCGCAAGCCUGAUCUAGCCAUGCCGCGUGAGCGAUGAAGGCCUUAGGGUUGUAAAGCUCUUUCGUGGGGGAAGAUAAUGACUGUACCCCAAGAAGAAGCCCCGGCUAACUCCGUGCCAGCAGCCGCGGUAAUACGGAGGGGGCUAGCGUUGUUCGGAAUUACUGGGCGUAAAGCGCACGUAGGCGGACUGGAAAGUCAGAGGUGAAAUCCCAGGGCUCAACCUUGGAACUGCCUUUGAAACUCCCAGUCUUGAGGUCGAGAGAGGUGAGUGGAAUUCCGAGUGUAGAGGUGAAAUUCGUAGAUAUUCGGAGGAACACCAGUGGCGAAGGCGGCUCACUGGCUCGAUACUGACGCUGAGGUGCGAAAGCGUGGGGAGCAAACA